UAAUGUAUGGGGAUCUGCCCGAUAUGGGGGAGUAACUACUGGAAACGGUGGCUAAUACCGCAUAAUGUCUACGGACCAAAGCAGGGGCUCUUCGGACCUUGCACUAUCGGAUGAACCCAUAUGGGAUUAGCUAGUAGGUGGGGUAAAGGCUCACCUAGGCGACGAUCUCUAGCUGGUCUGAGAGGAUGAUCAGCCACACUGGGACUGAGACACGGCCCAG
rnacentral:rRNA from 1 species